GAUGCUUCGGUUAGCUUUCUGCUCUAAUGAGUGAUUCUGGUACUCAAACUGUCUGUCGUCUCUGAGGAUGGAAUAUGUGCACGUUUGCGAAGCAUGACUACUCGGCCUGAGCGAGCUGCCUAGCGUGAGAGGGAAAACUGGAAAACGUGCAAACCAGAGCAUGAAAGGAUCCCGUGUUCCUCUUUGAGAAAGUCUGACGUCAUGUGCCCAUUGCAAAAUCAACACACCACAGUUAAACACUCUGCAGGGUGGUAGUGCAGAGCAGCAGCCUGGCCCAAACCACAAGCCCUGGAACCAGUUCAAACCAAACACAGACAGGAAACCACCCACCCAGGAAAAGAGACUAUAGGUGCUUCAAGCAACUGGGGAGUGUACCCAACGACUGCCACCUAACUCUCCUUCAUAUGCUUAUUCGAACUUAGUAAAGGAACUGCAGGGUUGGAAAUGGAGAGGAGCCUGAGGAAAAGAAGGUCCAGUGACAGGCCCAAAGUGGGAUCAAGCUCAAGGGGUGGCCGCAAGGCCUGACACUAUUACUGAGGCUAUGGAGAGCUCACAAAAAGGGACCAAGCAUGACCACACUCAAGAAGACCCCAAAAGCAGCUGAAAGAGACUGUGCAUUCUAUUGGGCUCAGUGUCUCCAUCUUGUGAUGAAACCAGGGUCACAUUAUUCUUAAGAAUACGAUAGAGAGCACGCUCAAGCAGAAUCAGACAAGUACAUUUUAGAUCCCCACCCCCACCCCUUACUGGGAUUUGCUUCCAGAACAGAGAUGGUGCAAAGUCAAGAAACAGAUGUAAAAGCGGUCAGUCCAAGAGUGCCCUAAACACAGGAAGAUUUGGUUACAGAAAUGCUGAACGAGAAAAUGAGAAGGGAAACUAGAAAUGCUGGAGUGGUCCUGAGGAGACAGGCAAGCCUGGCAUCAGAAAGGGAGAGAGGGAAAACUAGCUGAGAGCAUCCUGGGCCAACUGCAACCCAACUUCGAUUGAAAGCUGCAGUGCCAAGCCCAGCAAGGAGUCUUCCAGCCAAAGGGCCUAUGUUGCUUCUUGUUGGAGAUCAUUGGCUGAUUUGCUUGUUCAUAGGAAGCAUUGUCCCAGAAUAGAUGCACCAAUUGAAUUAAUUUAAUUUAAUUUAAUUUUUUUGUUUUUUUUUUCAUUUCUUUAUUUACAUUUCAAAUGUUAUCCCCUUUCCUAGUUUCCCCUCCCAAAACCCCCUAUCCCCUCCCCCUUCCCCUGCUCACCAACCCACCCACUACUGUUUCCUGGCCCUGGCAUUAAAGGCCUCUCCUCCCAUUGAUGACCGACCGACUAGGCCAUCCUCUGCUACAUAUGCAUCUAGAGCCAUGAGUCCCAUCAUGUGUUCUCUUUGGUUAGUGGUUUAGUCCCAGGGAGCACUGGAGAUACUGGUUAGUUCAUACUGUUGUUCUUCCUAUUCAAUUUAAACUACGGUAACCAGGCCCAGAGGUUUGUGGUUGAUUAUGUUUCAAGGACAUUGGCUAUUCGUGGGUUGCAUUCCCAAGGAUGCCAUACAGGUUCAGGUCAGACUCUAAAGAUGGGUCUGCCUCUAUAAUGAGAGAAACAGAAGGUACAGGAAAGGGUGAACACUGGGACAUUCAAUGCAUUAAGUCUAGGAGAGGAAAGGAAGAAAACACUGACCAAGAGUGAGGCAAGGAAGAGAAUAAGCCAAGGAAGAGUGGAUAGCCAAAGUAGUUGCCAUUGUGACAGACUGAUGCUUCAUUUACUUCAAAAAUGUUCUAGAAGACCAUUAUAGAGGAACACGGUCAAAGGGCAAGGGUGACAGUUGGGUUCUCUGCUAUCACAUGACACAGCUCCCAGUGUUUGAAAACGGAGUGUUUGAAGCCUUUCCUAUUCCAGGCCAGGGUCUCGGCUGGCCUGCAGUUAGACUCCUCAUACUCAGCUCACACCCUCCGGUGUGUCAACGACUUUGAAACACAGUGCAGAGAACAUGAGGGAUUCUUCUUGACAGUGAUUGUCCUCCAUCCAGAAAGGAUACUUGGAUACCAAGUCCAGGCCUUUUCAUCAUUUUUAGUGUAUUUUAAAUUCGAGGUCAACUAAUUUCCAUAUCUUCUGGUGUGUUGGGGGUAUCCAGGACUUGAUCUUGUGGGAGAACUGGAUUCUGAUGAUGCCAAGUAGCCUUGAUUUCUGUUGAUGGUAUUGGAAGUGGAAAAGAAGAUCUUAUGUAGCAGUGGUUCUUGGCUCCCAGGAAAACACAGUGACAGGGAAGACAUGGACUGUUACCACAUCUGUGCUAUUACUCCUACAUCUUACAGCUUAGUGCCCCUGUCCUUUUAACUUCUGUUUUUCAUAAAUUGUGACACCUCUGAAGUAAUGGUCAUUUGGAUUGUUUUAUUUCAUCACUCUCUACAAUCUCUAGUCUACAAAAGUCUUCAUCUUAACAAGUGACCUUUGUUUCUCUUUAUGAAUUAAAAUCUACAAACAAAGGAGCUGUCAGAAAAAAAAAAAAAGAAUGGAAUAUUUGCAUCAGAAAAAAAAAAAAAAGAAUGGAAUUCAACUCAGGAGGAAUGGUGUCUUCACCCAGUCUCUUCUAAUGAAACUACUUCUUGGGAAAUGUGUUUGCACUGACACAGCACUUGGCCUGCAAACAGUGGCAUUAUUAAUGUAAAUUAUUCCAGUCUUGUGGUUUGAUAGAAAGAUUAAUGGUCUCGAAGCUCAAAGAUAAACGCUGUGCUUGUGUAAUGAGGUCAACAAUCACCAAAGGCCACUGGAGGCCUCUGACUGGGAAAAACAGUGGUUAAGAUCUGUAUGUUGUUAGCUCAUCUAUGCGAUGUGACCCUGGACUCUGAUGCUUAGAAAGCCAGCACUGGCUACUGAAUCUGCUAAUUAACUCUAACAGCUUCCAGGCUCUCUUGGGACAUCAUAUCAUCUGUCCCUCUUAAAAAAUUCAAAACUGAACCACAUCAGUAGAACUCAAAAGAGACAAGAUCUACCCUUAAUAAUACUCCAUUAAACUAUAUACUCCUCCUGCUCUUUGUUCUAAUAUAUACAGCAAUAUGCUGCUAAAUUCAUGAGUUGUAUGUUUUGCUCAGUUUCUAUUAUGAAAUAUAACUUUUGAUUGUUGAUCAAUCUAUUAUUUGUACUCCCUACAUAUUAUUGUAUUGACUAAUUUUUGUAUUUAUCAACACUCAUACUGUGACUAACAGAAAUCUAUCCCAAAAUAUCCUAAGAAUAAAAGAGUUCUUUGACUUCCAUG
rnacentral:lncRNA from 1 species